GACGAACGCUGGCGGCGUGCCUAACACAUGCAAGUCGAACGGAACUUCUUUAAAGGAUUUCUUCGGAAUGAAUUUGAUUAAGUUUAGUGGCGGACGGGUGAGUAACGCGUGAGUAACCUGCCUCUAAGAGGGGAAUAACAUUCUGAAAAGAAUGCUAAUACCGCAUAACAUAUAUUUAUCGCAUGGUAGAUAUAUCAAAGAUUUAUCGCUUAGAGAUGGACUCGCGUCCGAUUAGUUAGUUGGUGAGGUAACGGCCCACCAAGGCGACGAUCAGUAGCCGGCCUGAGAGGGUGAACGGCCACAUUGGGACUGAGACACGGCCCAAAACUCCUACGGGAGGCAGCAGUGGGGAAUAUUGCACAAUGGGGGAAACCCUGAUGCAGCGACGCCGCGUGAGUGAUGAAGUAUUUCGGUAUGUAGAACUCUAUCAGCAGGGAAGAUAAUGACGGUACCUGACUAAGAAGCACCGGCUAAAAUACGUGCCAGCAGCCG
rnacentral:rRNA from 1 species